ACUCCUACGGGAGGCAGCAGUGAGGAAUAUUGGUCAAUGGAGGGAACUCUGAACCAGCCAUCCCGCGUGUAGGAAGACGGCCUUAUGGGUUGUAAACUACUUUUAUACAGGAAGAAACGUACCCUCGUGAGGGUGCCUGACGGUACUGUAGGAAUAAGCACCGGCUAACUCCGUGCCAGCAGCCGCGGUAAUACGGAGGGUGCGAGCGUUAAUCGGAAUUACUGGGCGUAAAGCGCAUGCAGGUGGUUUGUUAAGUCAGAUGUGAAAGCCCGGGGCUCAACCUCGGAAUUGCAUUUGGAAACUGGCAGACUAGAGUACUGUAGAGGGGGUAGGAAUUUCAU
rnacentral:rRNA from 1 species